AGGAGUGGAGCCUGCGGCUUAAUUUGACUCAACACGGGAAACCUCACCAGGCCCGGACACCGGAAGGAUUGACAGAUUGAGAGCUCUUUCUUGAUUCGGUGGGUGGUGGUGCAUGGCCGUUCUUAGUUGGUGGAGCGAUUUGUCUGGUUAAUUCCGAUAACGAACGAGACUCUAGCCUGCUAACUAGGCGUACUUUCCGGUAUCUCGAAGGCCAACGUCUCUCGGGUUUCCGUUUGGCGCGCAGUUUGCGCAUCGCUUCGGUGGUGUUGCGGCUGUGUGUCGUGCGGUCCGGGAGUUCGUGGUUUUUACUACCGGCGUACAAUUGAAUCUUCUUAGAGGGACAGGCGGCUCCUAGCCGCACGAGAUUGAGCAAUAACAGGUCUGUGAUGCCCUUAGAUGUUCUGGGCCG
rnacentral:rRNA from 1 species